rnacentral:rRNA from 1 species
AAUCUGCCCACUGAUUUAUUUUAAAGGGCUGCAGUAUAUUGACUGUACAAAGGUAGCAUAAUCAUUUGUCUCUUAAUUGGUGACUUGUAUGAAAGAUUGAAUGAAAUAUAAACUGUCUCAUUAUAAUUUGUAAAAUUUAAUUUUUUAGUAAAAAAGCUAAAAUUUAUUUAAAAGACGAGAAGACCCUAUAGAGUUUUAUAUUUUUUUUAAAAAUAAUAAAAUAUAAAUUUUUAAAUUAUAUUUAAUUAAAAUAUUUUGUUGGGGUGACAAAAAAAUUUAAUUAACUUUUUUUAAAAAUUUACAUUAAUUUAUGAAAAAAUGAUCCAUUAAUAAUGAUUAUAAGAAAAAAUUACCUUAGGGAUAACAGCGUAAUUUUUUUUUUUAGGUCAAAUAAGAAAAAAAGUUUGCGACCUCGAUGUUGGAUUAAGAUAAAAUUUAAAUGCAAAAGUUUAAAAUUUUGAUCUGUUCGAUCAUUAAAAUCUU